rnacentral:rRNA from 1 species
CAUGCAGGCGGUUAUGCAAGCAGGAUGUGAAACCCCCGGGCUUAACCUGGGAACUGCAUUCUGAACUACAUGACUAGAGUAUUGCAGGGGGAGACGGAAUUCCAGGUGUAGCGGUGGAAUGCGUAGAUAUCUGGAAGAACACCAAAGGCGGAGGCAGUCUCCUGGGCAAAUACUGACGCUCAUAUGCGAAAGCGUGGGUAGCAAACA